rnacentral:lncRNA from 1 species
AUGUGGAUGGCGAUGUCGUGCACGGAUGGUAAUGGGAGAGAGGGAGGUGGGAAGGAAGUACAAGUCACAGCCAUCGUUGACACUUACCGGGCGGCUACUGCUUAGCAGGCCCUUUGUUUCCGAUGCUGAGUUAAGGGCUCGCUGUGUGCCAGGCCUCCUGCAGUACCAGGGAGAACAGACGGGCAGAGGCCCUCUGCCACUACUGAGGCUGAAAAUGCCACCUCUUCCUUUUCCCCAGGCUCUCUUGGCCCAAUUCUAGAUCCUGAAACCUGAAGGAAGUUGGCUGGGAUGGAAACUCCCUUUUUUCCUUGCCUUUGGAUGCAGUUUUGGGAGGACAUGGUGUCGGGAGCAGAGCUGAACAUCUGGUGACCCCGAGGGGAAGCCCGAAAGAACCACGAAGAAACUGGCCCGGGCCCUGGCCCUGAUCUGCGAUUCACCAAGCCUGGCCCAAGGCUAACAGAUCCGUUCAGAUGCCCAAGAGCCACGCUGCUGGGAGGCACCCAGGCCGUCACGGGGCCCUGGGAGGCAGAGGGUAUUUCUGUUAUGCAGCCACUAAGCUCAGAGGUUAUAUAAUUUGCCCAAGGUCACACAGCUAGAAAGAGGAAGAUGGAGAUUGCAACCAGGUCUCCCAAUCGGGGGAGAGAGGCUGGAAAAAGUACAGGACACCUGCGUUAGCUUGAAUUUCAGGUAAACAAUUUUUUUUUAGUGUAAGUAUGUUCCAUGCAGUAUUAGGGAUCUACUUAUACUAAAAAUGUGUGGUUUACCUGGAAUUCCUUUUUAACUGGGCAUGCUGUAUGUUUACUUGCUAAAUCUGGAACCCUGUAGACCGGGCACCUUGCUCUUGUGUCCCACUGCGCAGCUGUGCUGCAGUCACCCAGCACGCCCGCCACCUGCGGAACAGGGGUACAAAGGGACCGUGCGGUCGGGGCUCUAACCAGGACAUGAGUGAAGCAGGCCAGGAGUGCCUUCCCCCGGGGUGGAGAGGGCAGGGCAGCAGCCGGCUGUGAAUUCAUGCCCCCACUUCACCUGGAGAAAGGCCGUUAUCCCUCGGGAUCUCCCCGAUUCUCCUGCAAGCUGGCAGACACACUCACUCUUCGACGAAAUGAGAUCACAUCUGUGAACUGCUUAGCACCGUGCCUGGCACUGAGUGCUCCAUAACAGCCUCUCUUCCUCCUCCUCCUCCGCCUCUCAGUAACGUCAUUAUGUAGUAUUUACUUUAUCAUCCCC